GUACUUUUUAGUUUGUAUCAGGGAAACUUCCUAGGUGUUAGAAAGCCUUCAAUUCAUUGUGGGGUCUUUGGCAACUUCCUCUACAAUUUCUUCCUCAUUUCCACAAUAUUUAAUUAUACUUGUGCUCUUCUGGUCCAUUUGUAUCCACAACAACCAGUAAGAAUUUAGAGGCUAGUUUACUUGUCCAAAUCAUGGGAUACACAUCUUUUAUUGAAGCUUGAAGGGAAUUCAAGGCUAAGGGCUAAAGGGAUUUCAACUACAAAAUUGGAGGGGAGCUUGAACAAUCAUGUGAGAUGCUAUAAACAUUUGUCUGUAAGAGAGUGACUACUUAGCCGACUAUGUAAUCCGCUUUAUUUUUCUACGCUUAUGUGCUUCUACUGUAAUUGUUGUUUGUGUGUGAAGAUUGGUUAAUUUUUGGCAUAAUCUUUCAUACAAGCUUAACAAACCAA